rnacentral:rRNA from 1 species
AGCGAACGCUGGCGGCAGGCUUAACACAUGCAAGUCGAACGGGCGUAGCAAUACGUCAGUGGCAGACGGGUGAGUAACACGUGGGAACGUACCCUUUGGUUCGGAACAACACAGGGAAACUUGUGCUAAUACCGGAUAAGCCCUUACGGGGAAAGAUUUAUCGCCGAAGGAUCGGCCCGCGUCUGAUUAGCUUGUUGGUGAGGUAAUGGCUCACCAAGGCGACGAUCAGUAGCUGGUCUGAGAGGAUGAUCAGCCACACUGGGACUGAGACACGGCCCAGACUCCUACGGGAGGCAGUAGUGGGGAAUAUUGGACAAUGGGCGCAAGCCUGAUCCAGCCAUGCCGCGUGAGUGAUGAAGGCCCUAGGGUUGUAAAGCUCUUUUGGCGGGGAAGAUAAUGACGGUACCCGCAGAAUAAGCCCCGGCUAACUUCGUG